UAGGCUAAGUACAGGUCUAGACUCUGGGUGGUUUACCGCUAGGCGCUGGGUCACUCUGUGGUAGGCUAAGUACAGGUCUAGACUCUGGGUGGUUUACCGCUAGGCACUGUGUCACUCUGUGAUAGGCUAAGUACAGGUCUAGACUCUGGGUGGUUUACCGCUAGGCGCUGGGUCACUCCGUGAUAGGCUAAGUACAGGUCUAGACUCUGGGUGGUUUACCGCUAGGCGCUGGGUCACUCUGUGGUAGGCUAAGUACAGGUCUAGACUCUGAGUGGUUUACCGCUAGGCGCUGUGUCACUCUGUGAUAGGCUAAGUACAGGUCUAGACUCUGAGUGGUUUACCGCUAGGCACUGUGUCACUCUGUGAUAGGCUAAGUACAGGUCUAGACUCUGAGUGGUUUACCGCUAGGCGCUGGGUCACUCUGUGGUAGGCUAAGUACAGGUCUAGACUCUGAGUGGUUUUCCGCUAGGCGCUGUGUCACUCUGUGAUAGGCUAAGUACAGAUCUAGACUCUGGGUGGUUUACCGCUAGGCGCUGGGUCACUCUGUGGUAGGCUAAGUACAGGUCUAGACUCUGGGUGGUUUACCGCUAGGCGCUGGGGUACUCUGUGAUAGGCUAAGUACAGGUCUAGACUCUGGGUGGUUUACCGCUAGGCGCUGGGGCACUCUGUGAUAGGCUAAUUAGAGGUCUAGACUCUGGGUGGUUUACCGCUAGGCGCUGGGUCACUCUGUGGUAGUCUAAUUACAGGUCUAGACUCUGGGUGGUUUACCACUAGGCGCUGGGUCACUCUGUGGUAGGCUAAGUACAGGUCUAGACUCUGGGUGGUUUACCGCUAGGCGCUGUCUCACUCUGUGGUAGGCUAAGUACAGGUCUAGACUCUGGGUGGUUUACCGCUAGGCACUGGGUCACUCUGUGAUAGGCUAAGUACAUGUCUAGACUCUGGGUGGUUUACCGCUAGGCGCUGGGGCACUCUGUGAUAGGCUAAGUACAGGUCUAGACUCUGGGUGGUUUACCGCUAGGCGCUGGGUCACUCUGUGAUAGGCUAAGUACAGGUCUAGACUCUGGGUGGUUUACCGCUAGGCGCUGGGUCACUCUGUGGUAGGCUAAGUACAGGUCUAGACUCUGGGUGGUUUACCGCUAGGCGCUGGGUCACUCUGUGGUAGGCUAAGUACAAGUCUAGACUCUGGGUGGUUUACCGCUAGGCGCUGUGUCACUCUGUGAUAGGCUAAGUACAGGUCUAGACUCUGGGUGGUUUACCGCUAGGCGCUGGGUCACUCUGUGGUAGGCUAAGUACAGGUCUAGACUCUGGGUGGUUUACCGCUAGGCACUGUGUCACUCUGUGAUAGGCUAAGUACAGGUCUAGACUCUGGGUGGUUUACCGCUAGGCGCUGGGUCACUCCGUGAUAGGCUAAGUACAGGUCUAGACUCUGGGUGGUUUACCGCUAGGCGCUGGGUCACUCUGUGGUAGGCUAAGUACAGGUCUAGACUCUGAGUGGUUUACCGCUAGGCGCUGUGUCACUCUGUGAUAGGCUAAGUACAGGUCUAGACUCUGAGUGGUUUACCGCUAGGCACUGUGUCACUCUGUGGUAGGCUAAGUACAGGUCUAGACUCUGAGUGGUUUACCGCUAGGCGCUGGGUCACUCUGUGGUAGGCUAAGUACAGGUCUAGACUCUGAGUGGUUUUCCGCUAGGCGCUGUGUCACUCUGUGAUAGGCUAAGUACAGAUCUAGACUCUGGGUGGUUUACCGCUAGGCGCUGGGUCACUCUGUGGUAGGCUAAGUACAGGUCUAGACUCUGGGUGGUUUACCGCUAGGCACUGUGUCACUCUGUGAUAGGCUAAGUACAGGUCUAGACUCUGGGUGGUUUACCGCUAGGCGCUGGGUCACUCCGUGAUAGGCUAAGUACAGGUCUAGACUCUGGGUGGUUUACCGCUAGGCGCUGGGUCACUCUGUGGUAGGCUAAGUACAGGUCUAGACUCUGGGUGGUUUACCGCUAGGCGCUGUGUCACUCUGUGAUAGGCUAAGUACAGGUCUAGACUCUGGGUGGUUUACCGCUAGGCGCUGGGUCACUCUGUGGUAGGCUAAGUACAGGUCUAGACUCUGAGUGGUUUACCGCUAGGCGCUGGGUCACUCUGUGGUAGGCUAAGUACAGGUCUAGACUCUGAGUGGUUUUCCGCUAGGCGCUGUGUCACUCUGUGAUAGGCUAAGUACAGAUCUAGACUCUGGGUGGUUUACCGCUAGGCGCUGGGUCACUCUGUGGUAGGCUAAGUACAGGUCUAGACUCUGGGUGGUUUACCGCUAGGCGCUGGGUCACAUGAUGAUAGGCUAAGUACAGGUCUAGACUCUGGGUGGUUUACCGCUAGGCGCUGGGGUACUCUGUGAUAGGCUAAGUACAGGUCUAGACUCUGGGUGGUUUACCGCUAGGCGCUGGGGCACUCUGUGAUAGGCUAAUUAGAGGUCUAGACUCUGGGUGGUUUACCGCUAGGCGCUGGGUCACUCUGUGGUAGUCUAAUUACAGGUCUAGACUCUGGGUGGUUUACCGCUAGGCGCUGGGUCACUCUGUGGUAGGCUAAGUACAGGUCUAGACUCUGGGUGGUUUACCGCUAGGCGCUGUCUCACUCUGUGGUAGGCUAAGUACAGGUCUAGACUCUGGGUGGUUUACCGCUAGGCACUGGGUCACUCUGUGAUAGGCUAAGUACAUGUCUAGACUCUGGGUGGUUUACCGCUAGGCGCUGGGGCACUCUGUGAUAGGCUAAGUACAGGUCUAGACUCUGGGUGGUUUACCGCUAGGCGCUGGGUCACUCUGUGAUAGGCUAAGUACAGGUCUAGACUCUGGGUGGUUUACCGUUAGGCGCUGGGUCACUCUGUGGUAGGCUAAGUACAGGUCUAGACUCUGGAUGGUUUACCGCUAGGCACUGUGUCACUCUGUGGUAGGCUAAGUACAGGUCUAGACUCUGGGUGGUUUACCGCUAGGCGCUGGGUCACUCUGUGGUAGGCUAAGUACAAGUCUAGACUCUGGGUGGUUUACCGCUAGGCGCUGUGUCACUCUGUGAUAGGCUAAGUACAGGUCUAGACUCUGGGUGGUUUACCGCUAGGCGCUGGGUCACUCUGUGGUAGGCUAAGUACAGGUCUAGACUCUGGGUGGUUUACCGCUAGGCACUGUGUCACUCUGUGAUAGGCUAAGUACAGGUCUAGACUCUGGGUGGUUUACCGCUAGGCGCUGGGUCACUCCGUGAUAGGCUAAGUACAGGUCUAGACUCUGGGUGGUUUACCGCUAGGCGCUGGGUCACUCUGUGGUAGGCUAAGUACAGGUCUAGACUCUGAGUGGUUUACCGCUAGGCGCUGUGUCACUCUGUGAUAGGCUAAGUACAGGUCUAGACUCUGAGUGGUUUACCGCUAGGCACUGUGUCACUCUGUGGUAGGCUAAGUACAGGUCUAGACUCUGAGUGGUUUACCGCUAGGCGCUGGGUCACUCUGUGGUAGGCUAAGUACAGGUCUAGACUCUGAGUGGUUUUCCGCUAGGCGCUGUGUCACUCUGUGAUAGGCUAAGUACAGAUCUAGACUCUGGGUGGUUUACCGCUAGGCGCUGGGUCACUCUGUGGUAGGCUAAGUACAGGUCUAGACUCUGGGUGGUUUACCGCUAGGCACUGUGUCACUCUGUGAUAGGCUAAGUACAGGUCUAGACUCUGGGUGGUUUACCGCUAGGCGCUGGGUCACUCCGUGAUAGGCUAAGUACAGGUCUAGACUCUGGGUGGUUUACCGCUAGGCGCUGGGUCACUCUGUGGUAGGCUAAGUACAGGUCUAGACUCUGGGUGGUUUACCGCUAGGCGCUGUGUCACUCUGUGAUAGGCUAAGUACAGGUCUAGACUCUGGGUGGUUUACCGCUAGGCGCUGGGUCACUCUGUGGUAGGCUAAGUACAGGUCUAGACUCUGAGUGGUUUACCGCUAGGCGCUGGGUCACUCUGUGGUAGGCUAAGUACAGGUCUAGACUCUGAGUGGUUUUCCGCUAGGCGCUGUGUCACUCUGUGAUAGGCUAAGUACAGAUCUAGACUCUGGGUGGUUUACCGCUAGGCGCUGGGUCACUCUGUGGUAGGCUAAGUACAGGUCUAGACUCUGGGUGGUUUACCGCUAGGCGCUGGGUCACAUGAUGAUAGGCUAAGUACAGGUCUAGACUCUGGGUGGUUUACCGCUAGGCGCUGGGGUACUCUGUGAUAGGCUAAGUACAGGUCUAGACUCUGGGUGGUUUACCGCUAGGCGCUGGGGCACUCUGUGAUAGGCUAAUUAGAGGUCUAGACUCUGGGUGGUUUACCGCUAGGCGCUGGGUCACUCUGUGGUAGUCUAAUUACAGGUCUAGACUCUGGGUGGUUUACCGCUAGGCGCUGGGUCACUCUGUGGUAGGCUAAGUACAGGUCUAGACUCUGGGUGGUUUACCGCUAGGCGCUGUCUCACUCUGUGGUAGGCUAAGUACAGGUCUAGACUCUGGGUGGUUUACCGCUAGGCACUGGGUCACUCUGUGAUAGGCUAAGUACAUGUCUAGACUCUGGGUGGUUUACCGCUAGGCGCUGGGGCACUCUGUGAUAGGCUAAGUACAGGUCUAGACUCUGGGUGGUUUACCGCUAGGCGCUGUGUCACUCUGUGAUAGGCUAAGUACAGGUCUAGACUCUGGGUGGUUUACCGCUAGGCGCUGGGUCACUCUGUGGUAGGCUAAGUACAGGUCUAGACUCUG